GAAACUGAAGAUGUGCCAAAGAAGAAAGCGCCAGCCAGGAAGGCAGCAGCGAGAAAGAAUGCGCCCAACUUCAGCGAGAUAUCUGAUGAGGAAACUGGUGAUGAAAAGAUGCCAGUGAUAGCUGAGGAUGACGACGAUGAGGAUUUUGCAGUGGAGGUUUCUGCCCCGAAAGCUAAGAAAGGUGGCGGGCGGAAGCCUGCUGCGAACGCCAAACCACCGAAAGCCGCAG
rnacentral:misc_RNA from 1 species